rnacentral:rRNA from 1 species
AGAGUUUGAUCAUGGCUCAGAAUCAACGCUGGCGGCGUGCCUAACACAUGCAAGUCGAACGAGAAAGUGGAGCAAUCCAUGAGUAAAGUGGCGCACGGGUGAGUAACACGUGACUAACCUACCCUGGAGUGGGGGAUAACUGAGGGAAACCUUAGCUAAUACCGCAUAAUACCUACGGGUCAAAGGAGCAAUUCGCUCUAGGAGGGGGUCGCGGCCGAUUAGUUAGUUGGCGGGGUAAUGGCCCACCAAGACUGUGAUCGGUAUCCGGCCUGAGAGGGCGCACGGACACAUUGGAACUGAAACACGGUCCAGACUCCUACGGGAGGCAGCAGUGGGGAAUUUUGCGCAAUGGGGGAAACCCUGACGCAGCAACGCCGCGUGGAGGAUGAAGUCCUUCGGGACGUAAACUCCUUUCGAUCGGGACGAUUAUGACGGUACCGGAAGAAGAAGCCCCGGCUAACUUCGUGCCAGCAGCCGCGGUAAUACGAGGGGGGCGAGCGUUGUUCGGAAUUAUUGGGCGUAAAGGGUGCGUAGGCGGUUUGGUAAGUCUUGUGUGAAAUCUACAGGCUCAACUUGUAGUCUGCACGAGAAACUGCCGGGCUUGAGUGUGGGAGAGGUGAGUGGAAUUUCCGGUGUAGCGGUGAAAUGCGUAGAUAUCGGAAGGAACACCUGUGGCGAAAGCGGCUCACUGGACCACAAACUGACGCUGAUGCACGAAAAGCUAGGGGAGCAAACAGGAUUAGAUACCCACGUAGUCC